rnacentral:lncRNA from 1 species
AAGUCUGGGUAAGACGAGCCUUUGGGCUGAAUAUAAGCCUUUGGGAUGGAUAAGGUAUUAAAUCCUUCACGAAUUCAAGGAUAAUUGCCUUAAACAGGUGGCAUGCAUAUGAAAGAAACAUGACAUUAUUGUGAGCAUGAAUUAAACAAGUAGAAAGAAGGAAGAAAUUCAUUCAACUAUUAUCUAUAAGGAGUUUCUGUUUCUUCCCCUCUGAAUAAGUGUUGGUGAACCGUUCCCUGUGACGAUCGACAUUCCUUUUGAUGAGAGAGGAUACACAUUAGGCAUAUGUAGGACCGCCAUGGCAAAUGUAUUUCCA